UCUAAUAAUUCUUGGUUGACUGAUGAAUUGAUAAUUCAUCAGUGCACAAAGUUGUAGAGGCUAAUUCAUUACUCUCUAGGCAACAAGGUUAAUAUGACAUACUUCCAAUAUUGUGGUCAAUAUUAUGAUUUAGACCUCUUUGACUGGAUAUUUUCAAACACUCAAACGACCUUUAUGAUAUGGUGAGUUAUUUUUUAAAUGAAUUAAUAACAAUUAUGUUUUAUUAGGGCUGGAAGAGAUUUUGAGAAAACAUAAUUUUUGCGAAAACCGGAGAUGUUAUAAACAUUUCAACUUUGCCCAGUUCAUGCAUCAUGGUUUUGUUGUGUACAGAAUGGGCUGGUCGACUUUUUAGCAGCAAGAAUAAAGCAGAUCUUUGAUACCAAAGAAAUAGAGACAUAUAAAUAGUUCAGGAAGCAUACAUACAAACUAUACCAACAGAGGCGGGCUGAUUAAUAUUAGGGCAAAUAGAUGGUUUGGCAUGUCAGGUUAUAAAAAGCUGGUACAUAAAGAAAGAAGAAGAAAUAAUUUGCCACAUAAUCCAUUUCUCAAUGGGACAUGAGUAUUUACACAAAUGUUUUUAUAGCAUUCGACUCAUGCGACAAAUGAGUUAAAAAAUUGUAAAGGUCAGUGAUAUGGGAGCAAUUUACAAGUCAAGUAUGAAGUAUUUUCGUAUGGUUGAAAAGCACAAAAUUGUAUUUGCUUGUGUAUCAGUUGCAAAACUCAAGAUAACGUUAAUCUGCACUCUGGUCAAUAAAAAUAUAAUAAAAGCAGA